CUUCAAUCAAUUUCAAAAGAGCAUCAAUGGGUAAAAAUGUCAGAGGAGAAAGAAGUGAAUUUUCAUCUAGCAUGACUUGGUGCUUGCAUUAUAAAGAUCUCUGGAAAAAACAAGGGCCCUUAGGCUCACAGACCUUCUGAACAACUUCUUACCUUGUCAAAUAUAGGUAAGUUUUAGGUUUCUGAGAGAACAUCUGAAGACAGCUUGGUGCAAG
rnacentral:lncRNA from 1 species